UGUAGGGACCAAACGGCUUCUCAGCAAGGCAAAGUUCUGAGCAGAACUUCUCUGGGGUGCAGGAAGAAAGACCAACCCACUAGAGAGCAUGAGGGACUCGGCUCCUGCGGAGAUGGAGGCCAGGCUGCUGAGCAGGUGGGAGUUCUGUUCCGCGGAAGGAUGGUCUGGCCUCGCUCUCAAACUGGUCAGCCCAGUGUUCCCCCAGGCCUGAGAAGAGCCCUGUGUGUCUGCCAACGAGGAGUUCACUCUAGGAACCCGUGAGCGCUCCAGAGCCCACGCAAACAGGCCACAUGACGUUGUCUCUGGAAUGAAGCGAGCAAGACGUGUAACCCUGCGCCGGCAGCCAGGGAGGAUUUUUGCUUCAGCUUCAUCCAUAGCAGAGCCCGAGUAGACCGUGCAGGCGGAUCGCUUUCCCACCGCCUGGAGCAGGGUCCCCUGCAAAGCUGCGUGUGCGCUGCCAUUCCAGUCCCCGGCACACGGCUCCCCCCGGAGCCCCGGAGACAACGCCGCACGCCCCGCCGAGCCCUGCAGAGAGCCUGGCCGGAACGGCGCCGAGUCGCGGAAACACCUGCAUCCGUCUCCCUUUUUGAACAGCCUUGGCUCUUCAAAGAGACGUGUUCCACGGAAAGGACAGCAGGCAGGGGACUGGGUCUGGGCCCUCGGCCUGCCCGCGGACAGGGGCUGCUGCUGGAGGAAGCAAAGGUGGUGCCGGAAGCAGCCAGUGAGAAGGAAGCGGCUGUGCUAGGAACCCUGCGGCUCUGAUGGCUGCUUUAAUGAAGAUCACGUUAUUAAAUCCCAGAGCACGAUUGCUGGGGAGAAAUAGCAAUUGAUGGGAUUGGAGUCCCUAGUGAUCGGUGCCGAAGAGGAUUAAAGUUCUGUGCCGGGAGCCUCAGCAAAAGGUGUUAAUGGUCAGCGGCAGUUCUCCAUGUGCUACUGGGCACACUCACCACCCGGCUCCCUGUUAGCCGGGACUGCGACCCAUUUAGUGCUUGCUUUGAAAUUUUAUCUUCCCAUCUUGUUUUCUGUUUCCUCUUUUUUUUCUUUUUCAGAGACCUCAGCUGUGUGCCAGCAUUCUCUGACCAGCAUUUCCCAUGUGUUUCCUAUUUAGUGUGUGAUGUGUCUAGCCAUUCCACUUCUCUUGCCCUUUUAAGUGGUGUCAGUCAUUUCGCUCUGCUACUAGUUGCUUUUUUCUCUGCAGCCUCCAACACUCAGCAUGAAUCCUUACCUGACUCUUCAGCUAUCUCCUCCUUCCGGCUUCCUCUCUCUGGAUAAUAUUAAUGUGACAAAUCUCAGAGCUUCCCCCUGUGCGUCGUUAGCCAGAGCCCCACUGCCACUCCACAGAGGUGUCUGUUCAGACCUAAUGCUAAACUGCCGUUGCUUUUUUGACCUCGUUAUUGAUGUGUGGGUGCCCUGCCCCUCCGACCCCGCAGGCCGGCAGCAUCUCCGGCACCAUGUGAACACAACAUGUUGCCUGCCAGAGCUGACCAAGCUGCUGUCUUUGCGGAGGCCGGCAGGACAGCAACUGUUAAACUUCUCCAGAAUCCAAGCCACUUGGAGCAGUGGGUCCCAUACAAAGCCAGAGGGAAGACAGGCCUCCAUUCAAGUUUGGGUCCAAUCUGGACUCCCUCAUGUUUGGAGGGGCCCAGUCCCACUUUCCAAGCAUUUCUGAUCCAGGAAAUCCAGGGCAUGUCCGACGUAAUCACAGGGACUGUGCCUCCAGGAAUUCAAAGCUCUAAUGUAACACCUGAGAAAACCGGUACCGAGCCCGACCCCGGGCAUCCCUUGCUGGCUGGCUGCUCUGGUUUUGACUGUGGGUUUUAUUCUGCUUGUCUGUAUGAAAUAUUUGGUGUGCCUUGAAUGUUCUGACUUCACUGCAGACCCUCUGGGGCUGUGCAUUGCACACGCUGCCUGUCAAUACAUUGCACACUGGCCGCUCAGUGCCUGUCAUAUUUGACUAACUGGUUCUGUGCCUUGAAUGUUACAUUUAAUAAAAUAAUUCGUCCCGAAAAGGAAUGGUGGUGCUGUGGUGCCACAGCGAUCUCAGUGGAAACUCCAGUCCAGGCCU